GAUGAACGCUGGCGGCGUGCUUAACACAUGCAAGUCGAACGGACUUAUGAUGAAGCCUAGCGAUUCAUAAGUUAGUGGCGGACGGGUGAGUAACGCGUGGGUAACCUGCCUUAUACAGGGGGAUAACACUUAGAAAUAGGUGCUAAUACCGCAUAAGCGCACAGUUUCGCAUGAAACAGUGUGAAAAACUCCGGUGGUAUAAGAUGGACCCGCGUCUGAUUAGCUAGUUGGUGAGGUAACGGCCCACCAAGGCGAUGAGCGGUAGCCGGCCUGAGAGGGUGAACGGCCACAUUGGGACUGAGACACGGCCCGAACUCCUACGGGAGGCAGCAGUGGGGAGUAUGGCACAAUGGGGGAAGCCCUGAUGCAGCGACGCGGCGUGAGUGAAGAAGUAUUUCGGUAUGUAAAGCUCUAUCAGCAAGGAAGAAAAUGACGGUACUUGGCUAAGAAACCCCGGCUAACUACGUGCCAGCCGCCGCUGUAACAC
rnacentral:rRNA from 1 species